rnacentral:rRNA from 1 species
AUUGAACGCUGGCGGCAGGCCUAACACAUGCAAGUCGAGCGAGGGGCGGAGGUGUGAGUAAUGUGUGGGGAUGUGCGCGGUAGGGGGGGAUAACUAGUGGAAACGGUGUAUAACACCCCAUAAUAUCGUAUGCCCCCAUAUGGGAUUAGCUAGUAUGUGGGGUAAAGGCUCACCUAGGCGACGAUCUCUAGCUGGUCUGAGAGGAUGAUCAGCCACACUGGGACUGAGACACGGCCCAGACUCCUACGGGAGGCAGCAGUGGGGAAUAUUGCACAAUGGGCGCAAGCCUGAUGCAGCCAUGCCGCGUGUAUGAAGAAGGCCUUAGGGUUGUAAAGUACUUUCAGCGGGGAGGCGUUACCCGCAGAAGAAGCACCGGCUAACUCCGUGCCAGCAGCCGCGGUAAUAC